rnacentral:sRNA from 1 species
AGGACCUGCUCGAUGGCUUCGACGGACCUUGUGUGCUCGACUGCAAAAUGGGCGUCAGGACUUACCUAGAGGAGGAGCUGACCAAGGCCCGUGAGCGGCCCAAGCUGCGGAAGGACAUGUACAAGAAAAUGCUGGCGGUGGACCCUGAAGCUCCCACCGAGGAGGAGCACGCGCAGCGCGCCGUCACCAAGCCGCGCUACAUGCAGUGGCGGGAAGGCAUCAGCUCCAGCACCACCCUCGGCUUCCGCAUCGAGGGCAUCAAGAAAGCGGAUGGCUCCUGCAGCACCGACUUCAAGACUACGCGAAGCCGAGAGCAGGUGCUUCGCGUCUUUGAAGAGUUUGUGCAAGGAGAUGAGGAAGUGCUGGUGAGAGCGGGAUCCCAAACCCUGAGGUGUUGGGGAGCCUGAAGCCGAGGACUGCCCCUGUCAUCCGGCCCAGUGCCCUCGGCUGUGUCCCCACCAUGGCCCUCACCGCGCUGGCUCGCAACUGCUCUACGCUCUUUCCCUU